rnacentral:rRNA from 1 species
GAUGAACGCUGGCGGCGUGCCUAAUACAUGCAAGUCGAGCGAACAGACGAGGAGCUUGCUCCUCUGACGUUAGCGGCGGACGGGUGAGUAACACGUGGAUAACCUACCUAUAAGACUGGGAUAACUUCGGGAAACCGGAGCUAAUACCGGAUAAUAUAUUGAACCGCAUGGUUCAAUAGUGAAAGACGGUUUUGCUGUCACUUAUAGAUGGGUCCGCGCCGCAUUAGCUAGUUGGUAAGGUAACGGCUUACCAAGGCAACGAUGCGUAGCCGACCUGAGAGGGUGAUCGGCCACACUGGACCUGAGACACGGUCCAGACUCCUACGGGAGUCAGCAGUAGGGAAUCUUCCGCAAUGGGCGAAAGCCUGACGGAGCAACGCCGCGUGAGUGAUGAAGGUCUUCGGAUCGUAAAACUCUGUUAUUAGGGAAGAACAAAUGUGUAAGUAACUAUGCACGUCUUGACGGUACCUAAUCAGAAAGCCACGGCUAACUACGUGCCAGCAGCCGCCGUAA